rnacentral:rRNA from 1 species
UACGUAAGUCCCGAGCGUUACUCGGAAUUACUGGGUGUAAAGGGUGUGUAGGUGGAAAGUUAAGUCGGAUAUGAAAGACCGGGGCUCAACCUCGUGUUAGUAUUCGAUACUGGCUAUCUAGAGUUAGGAAGAGGUAAGCGGAAUUCUAAGUGUAGGGGUGUAAUCCGUAGAUACUUAGAAGAACACCAAAAGCGAAGGCAGCUUACUGGUACUAUACUGACACUGAGACACGAAAGCGUGGGUAGCGAAAAGG